UGUCACCUGCCGCCGGGUAGGUGUCGCAUCGGCAUUCGCGCCUUGCUCAUUAGGCCUUUGAAGAGCAAGAUCGGGUGUUUUUUUAUU
rnacentral:ncRNA from 1 species